CCUACGGGAGGCAGCAGUGAGGAAUAUUGGUCAAUGGGCGAGAGCCUGAACCAGCCAAGUCGCGUGAGGGAGUACUGCCCUAUGGGUUGUAAACCUCUUUUGUCGGGGAGCAAAAGCCGGACGUGUCCGGCUGUGAGAGUACCCGAAGAAAAAGCAUCGGCUAACUCCGUGCCAGCAGCCGCGGUAAUACGGAGGAUGCGAGCGUUAUCCGGAGUUAUUGGGUUUAAAGGGUGCGCAGGCGGAUUUUUAAGUCAGCGGUAAAAUCGUGGGGCUCAACCCCCUCCAGCCGUUGAAACUGGGGAUCUAGAGUGUGCGAGAGGUAUGCGGAAUGCGUGGUGUAGCGGUGAAAUGCAUAGAUAUCACGCAGAACCCCGAUUGCGAAGGCAGCAUACCGGUGCACAACUGACGCUCAGGCACGAAAGCGUGGGUAUCGAACAGGAUUAGAUACCCUAGUAGUC
rnacentral:rRNA from 1 species